GUGCUACUGAAAACUGAAGCACAGAGAGCUCAGUGUUAUUUGUUCCACUGUGACAGAAGUGAACUGUAACCUGAGCUGCAGUAGACGUGAUCUCUGCUCAUUUCUCGUCUUCACUCCUCAUUGGAGAAUUUCCUUCAGUGAGGAUCUUCACCGACUGCUGCCUCAAACAGUCGAAUCCUACAAACAUCGUGGCUGCUCAAGCCAACAAACCACUCUGUAGCUAAGUGAAAAUCAGGGAAAAGAAAUACAAUGAAAGCUUCCAUUUUCCUGUUGGUGGCGCUCUCUGGAGCUGUGCUCUGCAUGACUGACAUACGUGUAGAGAAAUUCAAAAACCAGCAUAUCAUCAGCAACGUCCCACAAGGAAGGUGUGAUUAUCUGAUUAAAGAAAGGCACAUCAGAGAUUAUGAUAACAACUGUAAGUCAAAGAAUACCUUCAUCAUUGGUAACUAUCAGCAAGUUAGAACAAUCUGUAAUCCAGAUAAUUAUGUUGGCCCUCCCAAUUUUUAUAGAAGUCCCAGAAGUAUGGACAUUCUGCAUUGUGAACUGAGCAGUAGAGCAAAUGAUAAUCCUUGUAGUUACCAAAACAAGAGGAUGAAAAGGCAAAUUACAAUUGCAUGUGAUAAUAUCAAUAAUUUUCUUCAGCCUGUACACUUUGAAUGUUGUUGAGCUGUUGUGUACAUGCUGUGAUCUUUAAACAUCACUUCAUGAUGUUGCUGUGGAGAUGCUUUUAAAGACUUUAAAUUUGCUUAAAGUAAUAAAAAAACAAGGAACUGGUUUCCAGUGAAUGUGGAAAAAUACCACAAUCACAAGAGUUAUGGCAGCGUCCUUUAGACUUCACUUUCUUGUCUCACUUGCUUACAAAUGGCAGAAAAACAUGUUGCUGCUGGUAACUUUGUCAGUCUGGACUGAGCAGGCGAAUGUUUCCUCUGCUCAUUUGUUCUCCUGGUCAUCACAGGUCAGUGAUGCGUCCAGAACCAAAAAAAAAAAAGAGAAGAAAAAAAAAUGCAUAAAUGAACACUGUUGUCCUUUAGCACACUCCCACACAAUGUAACCCUCCAGUUCAGUUAUGCUUAUAGCUGCUGUGCAUUUGGCUAAUUUCUUCUAUGUUUCGAGUGUUUAUGCAUAUUAUGUUUGUAAAAUGUGUCAAGUCAGUCUGAGGUCGUUCGUUAGCAGCAAACUUACCGAGAGAAGAAAACCAGAAAGUACCGUUAACACAAACGUUAGUGAGUACAGUAUAUGUGGAUGUAGGCUUCUUCCAUUAAAUUGAUCCAUUAACAUGAUAAUGUGGGUUUCUUUCUGUAUUUGUUUAUGGAAAAGGAUGUAUUUUCUUUUGAUUCUUUUGUGUUGAUACUGUUUGAUUGAUGGUGAACAAUAGU